GUUGGAGGUCUCGCUGGAACCGUAGUCACGACGGAGUCUUGUUCCUGUUCAGUUCGAAACCAUGUUCGGCGGAACUCGACUCGUCAUUUUGUUCGGGUAAUCACUUGCAAUCUCUUGGGAUAAUCUCAAUUCUCUACUCGUCCUCUUUACAAGAAAACGCAACGCAAUCUAAGGUUGAUGUUCAAGAAAUAAAGAAAUCAAG
rnacentral:lncRNA from 1 species